AGUAGGGAAGAAGCGCAAGUGACGGUACCUGCAGAAGAAGCGCCGGGCUAACUACGUGCCAGCAGCCGCGGUAAUACGUAGGGCGCAAGCGUUGUCCGGAAUUAUUGGGCGUAAAGAGCUCGUAGGCGGUUUGUCGCGUCCGCUGUGAAAGCCCGGGGCUCAACCCCGGGUCGGCAGUGGGUACGGGCAGACUAGAGUGCAGUAGGGGAGACUGGAAUUCCUGGUGUAGCGGUGAAAUGCGCAGAUAUCAGGAGGAACACCGAUGGCGAAGGCAGGUCUCUGGGCUGUUACUGACGCUGAGGAGCGAAAGCAUGGGGAGCGAACAGGAUUAGAUACCCUGGUAGUCCAUGCCGUAAACGUUGGGCACUAGGUGUGGGGGACAUUCCACGUCCUCCGCGCCGUAGCUAACGCAUUAAGUGCCCCGCCUGGGGAGUACGGCCGCAAGGCUAAAACUCAAAGGAAUUGACGGGGGCCCGCACAAGCGGCGGAGCAUGCGGAUUAAUUCGAUGCAACGCGAAGAACCUUACCAAGGCUUGACAUCCGCCGGACCACCCCAGAGAUGGGGUUUCCCUUCGGGGCUGGUGGACAGGUGGUGCAUGGUUGUCGUCAGCUCGUGUCGUGAGAUGUUGGGUUAAGUCCCGCAACGAGCGCAACCCUCGUUCUAUGUUGCCAGCACGUGAUGGUGGGGACUCAUAGGAGACUGCCGGGGUCAACUCGGAGGAAGGUGGGGAUGACGUCAAAUCAUCAUGCCCCUUAUGUCUUGGGCUUCACGCAUGCUACAAUGGCCGGUACAAAGGGUUGCGAUACUGUGAGGUGGAGCUAAUCCCAAAAAGCCGGUCUCAGUUCGGAGUGAGGUAUGCAACUCGACGUUAAGAA
rnacentral:rRNA from 1 species